rnacentral:lncRNA from 1 species
CUUUAUCUGAAAUAUUAAAAAAUAGAUUUGAUUUUAAGUUCCUUGAGGUCAGGGGCUGUCUUUCAUCUCUUUUUUAUAUUCCCAGAGCUUAGCAAAGUAGCUGGCACAUAGCAGGUGCUUAAUAAAUGUUUAUUGGUUGAAUGACUGAUUGAUUAGAUCAUCUCUAAGACUGCUUCCAGCUCCAAAUCUAUGAAUCGCUUUUGGGCCACUGAAGCCACUGACUACAUUGGACCAAUGAGGCAACAUAUAGUUAGAGUACCAGGCCUAGAGACAAUAAAAACAGAAUCAUUCAAAUAUAUCCUCAGACCUUUACUAGCUGUGACCCAAGGUAAGGCAAUUCCUUUUCAUGGUGGAAAAUGUUUAUUUUUGGAAGAGGAGACAAUGGCAAAGAAACUAAUAAAACCUAACCAGUUGAGAAAUGAAGAAUGUCUUUGCUCUUCCAUCAGUUUCUAAAGAGAUAAUAUUUUUUCUUGUCUAGCUGCCAGGGAACUUUGAUUUUGUUGAGCUCUUUCGACCAUGAGACAAAAUGCAAUGUUUCUUUUUCAUUGAUUUGAAAUAACCAAACUCAGCAUCAUCCCCUUGAACUUUAAAGAUGAGGUGAACCAAGAAAGUAAUCUUCUUGGAUCCAUUGUGACCUUGGUGACUGAACAUCACUGCUGUUAACAGAACUCUUCCCUCCUUUGCUCAUUAACUUUAAAAAUAUGGUCCAACAGAAUCAGUCUACAUCAUCAUCUGAAUGUAUCUCCAGAAAUAUUGGAGUAUUUAGGAAAGGACCAUCUUCCGAAUUCUGGGACUAUACCUAUAUUGUUUAGAGAAAUACAGAAUGCUCUGUUUAUCAGGAUGAAAGAAAAGAAAAGAAAUAGCUGUUUGAGAUAAUUAAUUUAUUUAAUUGAAAGGUCACUCUGUUUGCAGACAUCAAAAGAACAUUUUUUGGCUCAUCAAUUAGUAUGAAUAUUUCAAAAAGUAUGGCUAUUUUAGAAAGCCAUGGUGGGAAAAAUUACAAUUAUUGAUAAUUGGAUCUCCAUAGUCAUCUCUUAGAUUAUAAUAUCAAAAGAACAUUGAAGCAACUCUUUCUAGAGUCCAUUGCUAAGUUGGUUGGUUUUGAUGAAGCGAUGAAGACACAGAACAUCUUUUUCUAUAGGCAACAGUCAGUAUGUCUUGUCACUAGAGGGCAGCCAGCAUCUGUUACAGACCCAAAGAGGAUGCAAAGAUAACCAGGUCUGGCUGCAGAAUUAGGUGGAGGAAAUUAUCUAAUAUCAAUUGCUUGGUCUCAGUUGACCUUAUUUUAAUAACAGUAAAUGACCAUCACCUUCAGAACCAAGAGAAUCUUCAAUUUAAGUAAAAGUCUAAAGAGUCUUUGCAUAAAAACAAAACAAAACAAAAAACAUACAUUAUGAUUCUCAUAGAAAAAGUUGAUGUUUUGUUAGCAAGAGAUCUGUAUUUGCAUUUGUAU